UUCUGAUCCAGACCAAAAGCUGAAUAACCAUAUGAGUUUUGGCGAGUUGCCUGUUCUCUCGGCUUCACAGCAAAAAGUGGACCUUUUGUUGUCCGUGUUCUCCCGUACUGCAAACCAGGCUGAAAUGUCCUACCAAGUCUCUUCCUGGAAACUGGUGAUCUGCUCGGUUCAGAAUGCAUGAGAUGAUCCUAUUGGUUAAGGCAGCUGAAAGCCUAAGUGACUUCUGGAUCGGUCCUCUUUCCUGGAUGCUUCCUACUGCCUGACGUCUGGGACUCGUUUCCUCAUCUGCAAAC